rnacentral:rRNA from 1 species
UGGGGAAUAUUGCGCAAUGGGGGAAACCCUGACGCAGCGACGCCGCGUGCGGGAUGAAGGCCUUCGGGGUGUAAACCGCUUUUGAUUGGGAGCAAGCCUUUUGGGGGAGUGUACCUUUCGAAUAAGCGCCGGCCAACUACGUGCCAGCAGCCGCGGAAAUACGUAGGGCGCAAGCGUUAUCCGGAAUUAUUGGGCGUAAAGAGCUUGUAGGCGGUUCGUCGCGUCUGGUGUGAAAGCCCAUCGCUUAACGGUGGGUUUGCGCCGGGUACUGGCGGGCUAGAGUGCAGUAGGGGAGACUGGAAUUCCCGGUGUAACGGUGGAAUGUGUAGAUAUCGGGAAGAACACCAAUGGCGAAGGCAGGUCUCUGGGCUGUUACUGACGCUGAGAAGCGAAAGCGUGGGGAGCGAACAGG